UACAGAGGGGGCAAGCGUUGUUCGGAAUUACUGGGCGUAAAGGGCGCGUAGGCGGCCUUCUAAGUCGAACGUGAAAUCCCCGGGCUCAACCCAGGAACUGCGUCCGAUACUGGAAGGCUUGAAUCCGGGAGAGGGAUGCGGAAUUCCAGGUGUAGCGGUGAAAUGCGUAGAUAUCUGGAGGAACACCGGUGGCGAAGGCGGCAUCCCGGACCGGCAUUGACGCUGAGGCGCGAAAGCCAGGGGAGCAAACGGG
rnacentral:rRNA from 1 species